rnacentral:rRNA from 1 species
CCUACGGGAGCUGCCGUGGGGAAUAUUGCACAAUGGGCGCAAGCCUGAUGCCGCCAUGCCGCGUGUGUGAAGAAGGCCUUCGGGUUGUAAAGCACUUUCAGCGGGGAGGAAGGCGUUAAGGUUAAUAACCUUGUCGAUUGACGUUACCCGCAGAAGAAGCACCGGCUAACUCCGUGCCAGCAGCCGCGGUAAUACGGAGGGUGCAAGCGUUAAUCGGAAUUACUGGGCGUAAAGCGCACGCAGGCGGUCUGUCAAGUCGGAUGUGAAAUCCCCGGGCUCAACCUGGGAACUGCAUUCGAAACUGGCAGGCUAGAGUCUUGUAGAGGGGGGUAGAAUUCCAGGUGUAGCGGUGAAAUGCGUAGAGAUCUGGAGGAAUACCGGUGGCGAAGGCGGCCCCCUGGACAAAGACUGACGCUCAGGUGCGAAAGCGUGGGGAGCAAACAGGAUUAGAUACCCUUGUAGUC